rnacentral:rRNA from 1 species
UACAGAGGGUGCGAGCGUUAAUCGGAAUUACUGGGCGUAAAGCGUGCGCAGGCGGUUUUGUAAGUCAGAUGUGAAAUCCCCGGGCUUAACCUGGGAACUGCGUUUGAAACUACAAGGCUAGAGUGUGACAGAGGGGGGGUGGAAUUCCACGUGUAGCAGUGAAAUGCGUAGAGAUGUGGAGGAACACCGAUGGCGAAGGCAGCCCCCUGGGUUAACACUGACGCUCAGGCACGAAAGCGUGGGGAGCAAACAGG